rnacentral:rRNA from 1 species
UACGUAGGGGGCAAGCGUUGUCCGGAUUUAUUGGGCGUAAAGAGCUCGUAGGCGGUUUGUCGCGUCUGCCGUGAAAGUCCGGGGCUCAACUCCGGAUCUGCGGUGGGUACGGGCAGACUAGAGUGAUGUAGGGGAGACUGGAAUUCCUGGUGUAGCGGUGAAAUGCGCAGAUAUCAGGAAGAACACCGAUGGCGAAGGCAGGUCUCUGGGCAUUAACUGACGCUGAGGAGCGAAAGCAUGGGGAGCGAACAGG